rnacentral:rRNA from 1 species
AUUGAACGCUGGCGGCGUGCCUAACACAUGCAAGUCGAGCGGUAACAGGUGUAGCAAUACAUGCUGACGAGCGGCGGACGGGUGAGUAACGCUUGGGAGUCUGCCUAUUAGUGGGGGACAACCCGGGGAACUCGGGCUAAUACCGCAUACGCUCUACGGAGGAAAGCCGGGGACCGCAAGGCCUGGCGCUAAUAGAUGAGCCCAAGUCGGAUUAGCUAGUUGGUAGGGAACGGCCUACCAAGGCGACAAUCCGUAGCUGGUCUGAGAGGACGACCAGCCACACCGGAACUGAGACACGGUCCGGACUCCUACGGGAGGCAGCAGUGGGGGAAUAUUGGACAAUGGGGGCAACCCUGAUCCAGCGACGCCGCGUGGGUGAAGAAGGCCUGCGGGUUGUAAAGCCCUUUCGGUGGGGAAGAAAAGUCUCGACCUAAUACGUCGGG